rnacentral:rRNA from 1 species
GAUGAACGCUGGCGGCGUGCCUAAUACAUGCCAGUCGAGCGAACAGACGAGGAGCUUGCUCCUCUGACGUUAGCGGCGGACGGGUGAGUAACACGUGGAUAACCUACCUAUAAGACUGGGAUAACUUCGGGAAACCGGAGCUAAUACCGGAUAAUAUAUUGAACCGCAUGGUUCAAUAGUGAAAGACGGUUUUGCUGUCACUUAUAGAUGGAUCCGCGCCGCAUUAGCUAGUUGGUAAGGUAACGGCUUACCAAGGCAACGAUGCGUAGCCGACCUGAGAGGGUGAUCGGCCACACUGGAACUGAGACACGGUCCAGACUCCUACGGGAGGCAGCAGUAGGGACUCCUACGCAAUGGGCGAAAGCCUGACGGAGCAACGCCGCGUGAGUGAUGAAGGUCUUCGGAUCGUAAAACUCUGUUAUUAGGGAAGAACAAAUGUGUAAGUAACUAUGCACGUCUUGACGGUACCUAAUCAGAAAGCCACGGCUAACUACGUG